rnacentral:rRNA from 1 species
ACGCUCGACACCUACGGGAGGUAGCAGUGGGGAAUAUUGCACAAUGGGGGAAACCCUGAUGCAGCGACGCCGCGUGAGCGAAGAAGUAUUUCGGUAUGUAAAGCUCUAUCAGCAGGGAAGAAAGUGACGGUACCUGACUAAGAAGCACCGGCUAAAUACGUGCCAGAAGCCGCGGUAAUCUGAGCGGGCUGGCAAGGC